UACGUAGGGUGCGAGCGUUAAUCGGAAUUACUGGGCGUAAAGCGCACGUAGGCGGUUCGUUAAGUCGGAUGUGAAAGCCCUCGGCUCAACUGAGGAAGUGCACCCGAAACUGGCGAGCUUGAGUACGAAAGAGGAUCGCGGAAUUCCCGGUGUAGAGGUGAAAUUCGUAGAUAUCGGGAGGAACACCGGUGGCGAAGGCGGCGAUCUGGGUCGAUACUGACGCUGAGGUGCGAAAGCGUGGGGAGCAAACAGG
rnacentral:rRNA from 1 species